rnacentral:misc_RNA from 1 species
UGCAUCCCACCACGCGGGGCGGCCAGAUUCGGACACUGGGGAUGCUGCGGGAGUUGCAUCGCUCUCACGAAAUCCAUUUCGCCGCUCUCGAACGGCCUGAGGACGGCAGCGAAGGCGUGACGCGCAGCGCCGAGUAUUCCUCGCGAAGCUAUCCCAUUUCCCACGAUCCUCCGAUGGCCAGGUCGGCGUCCUUUUACACCCAGUCGAUCGGUAGCGCGUUCUCCGGCAUGCCUCUGGCCGUCAGCCGCUGGCGCUCGGCGGCCCUCCGGCGGCGCGUCGAACAGCUUCUCGAAGAACAACGGUUCGACCGUGUUGUCUGCGAUUUCCUUGCCUCUGCCCCCAACGUG